rfam:Gossypium hirsutum cultivar TM-1 chromosome 8, whole genome shotgun sequence
AACCCAUGGUGAGGGCACCUUCUCAAUAGAUCCUUGUAUCUCUCUCAUGCAUUAAAGAGUGUUUCUAGAUCCAUCUGCACAAAAGAAGAGAUAUCAUUCCUCAAUUU